rnacentral:rRNA from 1 species
UACGUAGGGUGCGAGCGUUGUCCGGAAUUAUUGGGCGUAAAGAGCUCGUAGGCGGUGUGUCACGUCGGCCGUGAAAACCUGCAGCUUAACUGUGGGCGUGCGGUCGAUACGGGCAUCACUGGAGUUCGGCAGGGGAGACUGGAAUUCCUGGUGUAGCGGUGAAAUGCGCAGAUAUCAGGAGGAACACCGGUGGCGAAGGCGGGUCUCUGGGCCGAUACUGACGCUGGAGGAGCGAAAAGCGUGGGGGAGCGAACAGG